rnacentral:misc_RNA from 1 species
AGCAGCCGCGGUAAUUCCAGCUCCAAUAGCGUAUAUUAAAGUUGUUGCAGUUAAAAGCUCGUAGUUGAAUUUCGGGAUCAAUUAAUUGGUCGUGCCUCUGGUACGCACUGGUUUUAUUGGUUUCUCCCUUCUGACGAACCACGAUGUCAUUAAUUUGGUGUCGUGGAGAAUCAGGACUGUUACUUUGAAAAAAUUAGAGUGUUUAAAGCAGGCUAACGCUUGAAUACAUUAGCAUGGAAUAAUGAAAUAGGACGUUUGAUCCUAUUUUGUUGGUUUCUAGGAUCGACGUAAUGAUUAAUAGGGAUAGUUGGGGGCAUUAGUAUUCAAUUGUCAGAGGUGAAAUUCUUGGAUUUAUUGAAGACUAACUACUGCGAAAGCAUUUGCCAAGGAUGUUUUCAUUAAUCAAGAACGAAAGUUAGGGGAUCGAAGACGAUCAGAUACCGUCGUGGUCUUAACCAUAAACUAUGCCGACUAGGGAUCGGGCGAUGUUAUUUUUUUGACUCGCUCGGCACCUUACGGG